UGCCUGGAGAAGAGAAAAGAAGGGGAUAGGAGCCAGACCCCCGGCCAGGUCCGGAUGGCAUCUCCAGCAGGACAGCCCAGGAGUUCGGCACGGAAGCUAGCAGGACGCGUGUUACCUGAGACCCCCAUGUGUGUGCAGGCCACAGCGAAGGAGAGAGGAUCGGGCGAGGUGGGCACCCAGGGGGCAGGGGGCUGUCCCUGUCCUAAUGGGCUAGGGACAGUCACGGCCACCAUGGACUGCAGAGAAGAACAUACAGGGUAUUUCUCGUUCUGUGCACCUGCCCUGCAAUCCACUUCCGUGUCUUUGUUUUGAAGUUUGCCUAGAUGUUAUGGGGGGUCGGGCUGAGGUUUUCCCCAGGGCAGGAAGCAGUGGAGGGGAGUGAGAAGAGCGUGUUAAUUUGGGCUCGGUGUCAGUGUUUGCCGUGGGAGCCGGGAGGGGCAGGACGGGGCUGGUUGCUCAGCAGGGUGCCAGGGACAGAAAGGUGGGGGGGGGGGGGCGCAGGUGUGACGGGCCCACCUGCUGCUCUUCAUCUCUGUCCACCCGAGCAGCCCUCUGGGGUCACCAUCAACCCCGGGAGACACCAGCCCGAGAGCCUUGGGGUCACCCAGGCGGCACCCACAAAACUCGUCCUCCCCCAAACCCGCCACGGCUCCUGCACAAGGAUCACCGGCUGCCUGGUCUAGAAGCCUAUUCUUGGCUCCUCCGUCCUUCGUGCUCUGUAUUUCAUCCGUCACUACCUCCUGUCUGUCAUCAGAAAACCCGGGCUUCCCUCCUGGCUCAUGACUGACGGACUGACCGCGUGCUCCUGGGCGGAAGCCUUGAUUCACCCACCCAUCGAAUGGGAGCAGAGUGCUCUCCUCACAGGGCUGCUGGGACGACAAAACAAGGUGACAUGGGAGUGUGCUGAGCAGGGCGUGCCUUGUCCAGGCCGCCCUCUUCUCUCCCCGGGGGUCUCCCCUCAACUCUCAUGCUGGCCUCGACUGCCUUUUCCCAGUGGCGCCCUCCAGCGCGGUGCGAAGCUCCCUGUGACACAGAGGCUCCCGGGGAAAACCUGACUCCACGGGGCCGGCGGACCUCCAGGCUGCGCCCCCCAGGUGGUGCCCCCAGCCCGACUGCGGCCACAGUGUGCACCUCAGACGGCGAGGGAACCGCCAGGCCCUUGGCCUCCUCCGUCAGACUGCAAGCUCUUCUGGGCAGGCCUGGCCCUCAGAGGACUCAUGCAGGGGACAGGCCGGGCUGAGCCGGUGCAGAGGGAGGGCCCGAGGCUCACUGUGCUCGUGUUUGAGGGGCUCAGCCUCACGCCAGGGCCCGCCCAAGACCCUUUCACGGCCCGCACACUAGGACUGAAUAGCUAUAAACUGCGUAUCUCCCGGAAGUGCCCUGGUGUGAUCAUCCAUCUAAAGGCUCUGGCGUCAGUGUGCGGAGGGGGGGGCCCCUGGGGCAGAGAAGUGAGUGGAACAGAAAAUUCGCGGUGUCUCUCGAAUCUAGAUGGAAGCUGGAGAUUUCGAUUCCCUGGAGUCUAGGACAUGGGCCAAAGUGCAUUCUCCUCUAAGGGAGGCUCUCUUCAGUGUGACAGGAUGGACAGAAGGCAAGACUGCCCUUUAAGUCAGGAACCCCCAAAUACAAUGAGUUGUUUGUUCACUUAUAUAAUUUGGUAGAUCUCAUACCUAUUCCUCAAUGUUUAUGGGGCAGGACUCCGGAACUGCGGCUGUUCGGUAGGAAAGACCAAAAGCAAACGGUGAACGAGAGAGAAGACACACAUGCAUGCACAAAAUAAAAUCCACGCCACCGCCGCCGCCAACCAGCACGCCACGAGACACCGGACCGACAGGCCGCCCUCACUCUGAAUUCACACGAGUGCCUGCUACAGACUCCACCGCUCUAGAACCCUGAGCCAGGGCCUGGAACCGAUCCUGCCGGAAUAGACUCAGCACUCAGACCUGAAGGAUCUGUUCUCGCCGGCUUCUUAAUUCACUCCGUGGCGAGGGGAGGGUUAGCAGCAAUCACGUGGUGCCCUUCCUGCUCCCCCCCCUCCCCCCCGAAAGGACUCCGAGGGGCCCCCAGCAGAACCCUGCUGCUGCUCCCGGGUCACAUGUGCAAAGGGGGAGCCUGGCUGCAGAGGGCAACCGGCUCGCAGACGGGGCUUCCCGAACACAUGCUCCCACUGGGUCCGGCCCUGCAGCCAGAAACUGGAGCUUGUUGACUGAAAAUCUGUCGUGGCGACAGACCAAGGUGCCUUUCCAUUUAGAGGAUGGGAAACAGGAGGGCAGAGAGACCUCUAGAGGUAGAUUUGGGGAGCACAUUUAGGGGAAUUCUGCACAGCCCUUUCCCAGCUCUACCAAGCCCCUGAUUAAAUAAAUGUGGGCGCUCUGACAGUUUGAUUGUCUCAUGGAGUUUCCAGGGGAAAGAGAAACCUAAUUCAGAUUUUUCCUUCACGUCUAGGAAAUAUGAACUCUUCUAGGUGCAUCUCAGCCUCGGGUUACGAGGCUUGAAGACAGGAGGAAACUGGAUUUCAAGUUUUUGCCGGUAUUGCUGUGCUUCGCUGGACAUGUCCCCUCCUGCACACUGCGGUCAUUUAACAAUGUAUCUCUAUUUCCACUAACAAACCCAAAUUAUGUUGGCUUUUUUUCCCCCCUAUCACCUACACUACCCAGAACCUUAUCACUUACACUACCCAGACUUGUCACUGGUCCUCUGGCCACUAUGUUGCCACCUGCGUGGUAUUUCAUCCAAUUCCUUGGAGCCACAUCCACUCAGCAUGGCUUCACGGUCCCAACCUGCUCACCACCUGCACCAGUCAACUUAGGCUCCCUCCCCUUGAGACCUUUUAGAACACUCUCAGAACAUACCACCCCCUUGGUCUUGGAGCCCAAGAAGGCCCAGAAGCUUCUUAGGGGAAGAAGGGCUGGAAGGCCACGGGUGCCCUCUCAGUGACACUCCCACAAGUGGGAUAGGAGUGGUGAGGACGGGGACCUGCGUGGUCUUCGUCACGGGCCGGGUCUCCCGGCAGAGCACACAUGAGCAUGGGGAGCGUGGCACGUGGGGCGGGGAGAGCGCGGGAUGCUCCCCUUGGCUCCGCUUCUCAUCAGCCCUCCGUGACGGGAGUGGCGCCACCCGGAGAGGGAAACCGACUCGAGCAGAGACCAAGUGCCUGAGAAGCUGUCCUGGUGGCCGCAGAACACAGAGCUGAGCCAGCCUAUGCUUCCAGAGAGUUCCCCAGCAGGCUGCUACCAGUGUGAUGCUAACGGCAGAACCAGAGGAACAUUUGGCCGAGAAAGCAGAUGCGCCUUCCCUCUCCUGUAAGAGCCCUUGAGACCUGUGGUGAGAGGGCACAAGGGGCCACCUCAAGUGCUUCUACCUGAGUCGCUCUCCCGACAGGCGUCACAGGCAUUUGGCUGCACGUCUGGCUUGGACUGUGAACCUAGCUUAAUCCCAGCGCGCUGGCUCUUGAGAGCACCACAAGGAACCCCGGGGGUCCUUUCGUCUUCCCGCAGUCCCGCAAGUGGAAUAAAUAUCAACAAGCAGGUUGGCCAGAGAGAGUCAGGAGGCGGAGGGAGCGGAAGGAACAAAGUCAGUUUCCAGCAGCAUGGUUGGCUAAAACCGUUCCUGGCAGCCCCCUCUGCCAGAAAACGGGGGUGAGGGGGAGCCCCUCGAGGGAGACAGGAGCCUAGCAGAAGGACGGCUGCUAGUGAGCUGCCACAGACACAGGGCAGAGAGGACAGAGAUGUCAUCAUUCCCGACUCGUGCCCCAGGAUGCCAAUUCAAAACGACUCGUCCUCAUAAUGCUUGCCACAGAAGCAUCCCCAUUUUUUGUGGAACGGGGACUCAUCUAUUUUAACAAAUAUUUUUUUCUCAGAAAAUCUCCUAUUGAGUGCAGGCCCUCGCCAGUUAGGACCGGAGACCUAGGCAGAAGCCUCUGGCAUGUGCACACGCCCAGCAAGCUUGGUGUCGGGCACAGCAUGGCUGGCGGGGGGGAGGGGGGCGCGGGGACAGUGCUGGCGCAGAGUGAACAUGAACUUCCAUACGAGGUCUACAUAACAUAAAUGAGCUUCAAAAGAAACAAACCAGACAGACAGAUUUACAUUUGGCAAAAAGACGUGAAAAACAAAUGGACAGACGGAAGCAAGAUACGGAGUGGGAAGGCAGGAAGUGAAGUGUGCCUGGGCCCCACAGCUCCAGUCCAGGCCUGACACGGCAUCUUUUGUCCUCACUGAACGUGAAGAGUCCUGGGCAGGAUCUUCAGGACAAACUAAAUAGAAAACAACCGGAGAGGCCUUUGAAAGGCUGGAGAAAGCGCCUUCUGGGGAUUACGGCUUCCCCGCCACAAGCCUGUGUGGGGCAGGGCGUGCGAAUCCCCGUGUCUCUCCUAGGCUGACGGAGAGCAGCCACCACAGGAGGCUGUGCUGUUCCGACGCCUCUAGCUGCUUCGCUGAGCGAGUAAAGCACUGGACCCAUGAUGUGACGUGGCUGUUCUGAAGUUCAAAUAAGUCUCCAUUUCAGGGGAUGUUGAAGAGAUUUACAGACACCACAACGUGGAUGACCAUCUCUGCUGUGAAACCAGGAGGGCGGUUUUGACCUAGUCUACCCGGCCGUGACUCGGCUUCAGAGGAGGGGUUCGUGGAGCCCUUGAACGAGCACAUGGAAUAGAAGGGGGUGGGUGCUUAGCGGGAUUAACGCGGUUCCCGUAUAGGAAGUUAUCCCAGGUUCGGCUUAGUAUCAUGAGAGGGAAAAAGGGGGCCUAUCGAUAGUCCUGACUCAACUUAAAGUCAGGGCUCCGGGGAGCAUAGUCACCCUCGACCCCUGACUUCUCCUCUGGGAUCCAAGUCUAGUAAGUACAAUGCAAAUGUAACCCAAAGCUCACUGGAUCACAGAGCCAUUUGCUAGUCUAAAAAAUGUCGGCUUUCAAAUUCCUCCCCAUUCCUCUGAAGAGCUAUGGAUCCCCUUUCCAAAGGUUCAGGCUAUCUUUCCAAGACCUUCUUAGAGAGGCGGGGUCUGCCUCAAACUUCCUGUUGAUGAAAACAAGACCAGGCUACCUGCCACGGGGCCUGCAGGAUGGGGGUGGAAGGCUGCUUGGUCAGGCCAAUUCGGAAGAAGGGGGGUUUUUUACUCCUGUCGUCCUGUCCUCAUAUUCUUGCUCAGGGCAGGGUGUGCUCUGCACAAGUUCAAGGACUCUCCCGAGGCCUCCUCACUUCCUUUCAGCAUCUGGCUUCCAGCAGCCUAGCACAGCCCAUGCCUUCUUGCAGGAAGGCCGGGGCAGGAGACAGGUGUCCCAGGGUGAGAGCAGGGGUGCGAGCAGGGGAGCAUCUCCCACCAAGUUCGUGUUCAGCAGACUGCCACUCACCGGGUAAGCAGACCUCAGGGCACAGCUUAUUGUCCAGUGCUUUCACGCUUGCGAUGCCAAAGUCAUUGUUAUUGUCACACUCCAUACCUAGAAAUGCGCGUGUCCUCUGGCCUGUAAGGGAGUUAACGCAGUUAGAGAGGGGCUGGCGGUAUUUUUUCUCUGCUUUGCUGUCCUUAAAAAAAAAAAAAAAAAUCUUAAGGAUGGAGACAAAAAAAAUCAAAUCAUAUGUUUAAAAAAAAGACAGUAAUUAAGUGGGUAAAGAGUGGACAAUAAAGGAAUCAAAUUGUGUGAGGCUGCCUGUGUGCCUGCCCUGUCCUGCCCUGUCUCCCUAACUGGCUGCUUCCCAGCAGGUGCUCAGCCCGCUGGAGGCCGCGGGGCACCGGCUCAUGCAGAACCGCACUGGUGUGGACUGCGGCGGGGAAAGCUAGGGAGAGCAUCUGCUGAAGCUACGCCUGCUCCUGCCUGGGUCUGGUGUGUGUGUGUGUGUGUGUGUGUGUGUGUGUGUGUGUGGUGUGCACGCACGUGCGUGUUUAUGACCACAAGGCUCUGUAAGAUGAUAAAUACAUACAACAGACACUAAAAGUCUCAGUUUCCAUAAUUUUGCAUAUAAAAUCAGAAUCACCACAUUCACAAAAUUAUGUUUUGUUUUCCUAUGAAACUUGUUAUUUUGAGGCUGCCUUAAGGGUCUGACCAGAAACCUGCAGACACGUGAGGGGAAGGGGAGAGUUUCAGAAGUUAUUUUUUCUAGCUCCCCCUGUGCUGCCGUUUUUCUCUUGGUGAAAGGGAGAGGAAAAAACGUAAAA